rnacentral:piRNA from 1 species
UCUGAUUUGGUUGACUCUGUUAUGGAGAUGGU